CGGGGUGUGGCGCAAUUGGUAGCGUGCCUGCUUUGGGAGCAGGAAGUUGCAGGUUCGAGCCCUGUCACCCCGA
rnacentral:tRNA from 1 species